GUGAGGAAUAUUGGUCAAUGGGCGGGAGCCUGAACCAGCCAAGUCGCGUGAAGGAAGAAGGAUCUAUGGUUCGUAAACUUCUUUUGCAGGGGAAUAAAGUGCAGGACGUGUCCUGUUUUGUAUGUACCCUGAGAAUAAGGAUCGGCUAACUCCGUGCCAGCAGCCGCGGUAAUACGGAGGAUCCGAGCGUUAUCCGGAUUUAUUGGGUUUAAAGGGUGCGUAGGUGGUUUGAUAAGUCAGCGGUGAAAGUUUGCAGCUUAACUGUAAAAAUGCCGUUGAAACUGUCGGACUUGAGUGUAAAUGAGGUAGGCGGAAUGCGUGGUGUAGCGGUGAAAUGCAUAGAUAUCACGCAGAACUCCGAUUGCGAAGGCAGCUUACUGAGCUACAACUGACACUGAAGCACGAAAGCGUGGGGAUCAAACAGGAUUAGAUACCCCGGUAGUCC
rnacentral:rRNA from 1 species